AUUGAAUCAUGGGGGCGGGUCUUUCCUGUGCUGUUCUCAUGACAGUGACUAAGUCUCAUGAGAUCUGAUGGUUUUAAAAACAGGAGUUUCCCUGCACAAGCUCUCUCUCUUUUUCUCUUCACCUGCUGCCAUCCAUGCAAGACAUGACUUGCUCCUCCUUGACUUCCACCAUGAUUGUGAGGCCUCCCCAGCCACGUGGAACUACAAGUCCAUUAAACCCUUUUCCUGUGUAAAUUAGCCAGUCUCAGGUGUGGCCUUGCCAUUGUUCCAAAUGCAUGGAGCACCCUUUCUGCAGAAAGCAAAGAUUGCCUUGCUGAGAGGUCCUUUGUCUCCGUGCUGACUUUUCUUCGUGGCACCGAUUAUCUAUUUCUAACAGAGAGUCAUGGGCAUUUGGACAAAGAAAAUAAAAGGAUUGUGCAUUUCACAUCAAAUAUACAUACAAGAAUAUGCUUGCUUUGACUUUCUGAAUCUCUGCACAGUCAGAAAUCUGGCAGAAUAAUCACUGAAGUUCAAAUUAGAGCCCCAGAUGGAAACACAAACAGGGGCCACCACUGUGCCUUUUUCAUGCUUGGAAGCUCAGUUCUGGAUGGAAAUGUGUUUUGAGUUAAAAUGUAAUCAUUUCCAAUUCCUUCUGAUCACUGGAUCAUAUUUGAAAGAAACAGCCCAAGGACUACGAUUGCUUUUAAUUACCACUGAAUGUUGAUUGAAAUGAUCAUUUCCUUCCUAUCCGUUUGUAUUUUUAUAGAACAAACAAGAAUAAAAUAAAAAUAUGGCC
rnacentral:lncRNA from 10 species